rnacentral:lncRNA from 1 species
CUGCCCGGUUUUAUAGCCCUGCUUGACCUGUGUGAUCCGAGAAUAAUCUUGUUUAAUCUCCACAAGUUUGAGGACUAAACUGGGUGCCACAGAGAAUUAAGUAACUGGUCGAGGUUGUAUCAGUAAGAAGGGAGCACGGAACAGAUUCAAGCUCAGGGAGCCUGGUUGGACUUCAGGCCCCUGUGAGGCUGACUCUGUAGUCCUGGAGAAACUCAACAGCCAGGAACUUAGGACCAUUUGUGUGUGGCAUUUGGGCUAACCAGACUGGUGGCUUCUAAAGAAGAUGGAAAGCAUCACGUUUCCUGUAUUUAAAUUAUUUGGUGAUCUCAAUACUGGUUGUUAGCCAAAGUACACAAUGGAGACAGCCUAUUUGCUCUACUACUUUUGAUGUAGAAAUAUUACUAAGCUUGAGCUGAUUAAUAGAACUGUUACACAUUUCUGUGCUCCCCUUACUGGUGGCAUGAAAUAAUUCUUUUAAAACCUGCCAUGUGUUCACAUUUAAAACUAAAAGUAAUUUAGAUUACAUGGAUUUGAGAAGCCCAUGUUGACACGUAAUUGCCAACAGAUGGGCUUUCAAAUGUAAUGAAGUGAAAAUGGUCAGUACCCCAUGUGUUGGAUUUUGCAAUUUUCCAAAGUAAGCUGUCAUUUUUGGCAUGUCAUGCUAGUUAAGAACACAAUGUAUUUAUAGCUCAAUUAUACAUUUUCUGAUGAA